rnacentral:lncRNA from 1 species
AGUUGGUGUCCGGGGCCUGCGCAGAAGAGGACAGUCCGCAAGGGGCGGAAGACAAGACAAAAAUGACUCCAGUUCGCUAGACGCGCAGAGGGGCGGAUAGCGCGCGGACCCCGCCUUCCCCAACCGAGUGUGGGUUCCAGUCGCUGGGGAGGACCUGGUGGCCCCCUGACCUUGGACGAGCCAUAUUGGACGCCCCGGCGCCGUCCCGUCUUCCACGCUGCCAACUCCACCGCUCCCGCCCCGAACUGCGGGUAGGUCCAGGCCGCCAGGCCCCGCCUCGCCGGCCCCAGCCCUGAUUGACACUGGAGUUGGUACAUACGGGUCUGCAGCGGAGGCGAGCAGGAGGGUGAGCGCUAUUUUAAACAUGGCUUUCUCUUUCCCUUAGCCUAGGAGCCACCGCAGCGCACCCAGCCCGCGAGUACAGCCGCAUGGGAAUAAUCCCAACAUUUGCCUGAUUUAUUUUCUUCCCUCUCCUUACGCUUGUACUUGUUUUUCUCCUCUCGCUGUUUUCCCUUCACACUAAUUCGCAACCUGGCAGUUUGCAAAGAGGAAACUCCCUUUCGGAAUGGAAAGCCGCUUUUGCUUCUUGUUGUUGGGGGUGGAAAACAUUCCAGCGAGAAUGAGUUCAAAAAGAAGGGAAACCGCGUCACUGGAGAGAAAGUAACAUUAAGAGAUCGAUGAGGACGGAGUGGGUAGGGGGGACAGAGAGAGGAACGUCUGCAACAGGCAUCUAAAAACAAGCGUGGAGGAGCAAAGAUUCCCAAUCCCCGGGUUACUACCGCGCGCGUUCUGCGCGAGCCAUUGCAAUGCCAGCAUUUACUGUAAGCAGAAUUUGAAGGCUUUUGAAAUCUUUUUUUGGUAAGACUUACCUUUCUCUUCGGCAUAAUGACUAUGUCGGUGAAGCAAAAAGUAAAGCAACGGACUGGAACUGCUGGCGCCGCCGCUGGAUGCUGCCUCUGCCUCUGCAGCUGCUCACGCGCAGGGCACGACGUAGCCCGGCCUCUUCGACCUGCACCUCCGCGGCUCCCUCUGGGGGCCCUCUGCUCGCCUCCCUGCUGCUCCAAUGAGGAGCCCCGCCAGCCGGCCGCGAGGCCCCAUUGGCUGAGGCAACGUUCUAAAUUCCACGAGGGCACGCCCACCUCCGCGCGCGGUACGCGCUGUUGUAGUUUCCACUUCACCGAAAAAAAUCUGCCUGGCGACUGAGCAUGCCCAGUUCAACUAGUAGCCUCCAGGCCACACAAUCCUGAAGUUUCAUUGUUUCGCUGCUCUCUCUUUGAGAUUGUAAGAAUAAGAACAGUGUGUGUCUUCAUAGGAAGGAAAAAGAGUAAGAAUGAAUACGUAAACUUUAUAAUGUAAAUAUAUACACAGCAGGUACCUUAUUCAUUUCCUACCCAUAAAGGCUUUUAAUGAAUGUUACAUGGUGGGAAUCUGUAAAGCGUGGGAAGGUACUCUGUACUGGAAGAGCGUGGCAACUUCUAAAGGCCUCAGUUUCCCCCCCUAGAUAUAUAGUGACAACAGUCCCUAAAAUCACUUAGCUCUAAUUUUCUGAAAUCUGUGAUUAUAAAUCACUCACUAAUUCAGCUAACUUCAAACUAGAUGUGAAGACGAAUAGGACAUGUUUGUUACGGAAAUUAGGAAAAGAAAGAACAAGGCAAAAACUGAUUAUUUUAUAUUUGAGACAUAUAUUUGAAUGACACCCGUCAUGUUACACUUUAUGCGUAAUAUUUCUCAAAGUUCUGCAAGGCAUAAAAUGAGCAUUGCAAAAAUAUUUCUGAAUUCAUUUUAUGAGACCAGAUUUACUCUGAUACCAAAACCAGUGAAAGACUUCAAAAGAGAGUUACAGACCAAUAUCACUCAUAAACAUAGACACAAAAGUCGUGAACAAAAUUUUAGUAAAUGAAACUCAACAACAUUUAAAGGGACAAUACAUCAUGACCUGUGGGGCUUAUCUUGGGAAUGCAAAGCUGCUUUUUUAAUAUCUGAGAAUCAAUCAAUGUAAUUGGCAGGAUUAAUAGAAUAAAGGGGGAAAAACAAUCCUUUCAGCAGAUGCAGGAAAAGCGCUAGUGAAUGGGUAAGCAAAUUGUGAUGAGCACAUGCAGUGGAAUACUAUUCAGCAAUAAAAAACAAUAAAAAAUUUUCCUACAUGGAUGAAUAUCAAAAACAAAGUGCUGUACGAAAGAAGUCAAAUACAAAAGACCACACUGAAUGAUUGCAUUCAUAUGAAAUUAUAGAAAAAGCAAAAUUGGGCAAAGUUAGUUUCAGAAUCAUCUUAGCAGGCAAAGCUCACAUCAUAGGAAAAUGUGUUGAAGCCUUACAUUACAAAUAUGGCCAAAUCCACUUUGGUAACACAGAGGCUGCAAAUAUGUAUUAAAAAUAUCAUGUAUUAAAUAUGUAUUAAAAAAG